AUGGGACACAUCAAACAUUUUCUUUCUCUCUUGCAUACUUGUACAUUCUAUAUUAUUUGCAUGAUAUUGAAACUAAGCCUUUCAUUAUACUCGGACUUUGCUGCUGUCCCUAUCAGCUAUACUACUGUUAGUUUCAAGCAUGUAAUUUUUUUAUUUUAUUUUUUUACUAAAGGCUUUUUUUUUUUCCUCCCAAUUCACAAUAAGAGACGUGAGAUUUUAUGCCAGCAGGGAAAGCAGAACCCCCCAGAGCAGAAGGAAGAGGCUACAGGUAUUAGCCAAAGAUGCCACCUUCAGCUUGAGGAAGUGCAGCCGUUCUCCACCAGUGAAACGUCCAACUUCCUUCUCUUGGAGUUCAUCUAGAAGUCUGCUGAAGGAUAUUCAUCCACUGAUGUUCUCCAAGAAAACUGACAGCAUUUUUAUUCCCAUCAGAACUGGCCACUUAGUUGAUUAUGCUACAUAAUGAGUGAUAGACUGAGCCACAUGCUGUAACUCGAAUUCCCCAGUGACUCAACAUCAAGUCCUUCAGUCUCUUUUCAAAGCUUAUAGAAAAAACAACCCUAAAAGCUCCACUCCAUCAAGGGUCCCUUUAGGCCAAGAUGAAAAGCAGAUUCACAUUUAUCAAUCCUUGAACAAGAAAACUAUCAAUCACUGAAAAUGCUUAAUGCAAAACAGUGAAGAAUGUUUGCUGAAGGCAAACAGUACUGAGCAGAGUAACUCAAGAAUACAAAGUAAAGUCAAAUACUGAUCGUCUCUGCAGAUAUGCACAACCUAUACAUGACACAAAGACACACUGCCCUUUGCCUAAACAAAUCAAGAUCUAUAAAUCAUGCUGACGCUCACCGCAGUUUAACUCUCUCACCUGAGAAAUUAGUGUUCUGGCUGCUUAUGACUUGCAGAGGUACAGCAGGGUAGUUUGCCCUUGUGAAAUUUAAACGUUUCCAGGAUAUUUUUAGAAGACUGGUAAGAUCAGCAAGCCUUACCAUGUUGCUGUAAGUAAGGAGUGAUGACAUAUUGUUGCAUGGUAUGCAGUGUAAUUGCUAUUGCUGGAACAGAGAACUUGUGAUUUUUGCCUUGCACGCCAGCAAAGGCAGAACUAAGACCGCCUGUUUACACACAGCAACAUAUUUCUCUAGAAGAGUUUGCCAUAUUAAGUCUCACUAGCCAAUUUUAAUGAGAUCAAUUUGUACUGAAAAAUAAACUAACAAUACAAGGCAAUUACUUCCCACUAUGUGUGUGCAAGUGAAACAACUUUAAGGAAGGGAACAGAGUCAGUCAUCUCUAACAAGGCUGUGCACAAAAUGUAAUCUCAUUUGUUCUGGUGGGUUCCCAAGGUGUCUAUUAUAAUGAUAAUUUUGGAGGAUUUCAGUUAUUGCCUACAUUCAGAGAAACUAGCCUUGUAUUGACUAUUCUGAUUUCUCAGAACAGGAAACCCAACAUAGUGCUAACAUUAAUGUAGUUUAUGCUAAUUGUCUGCGGACCUUCACUUGGAAUUACAUUCUCCACUUUCUGCAGUAUCAUGAAAAUCUUUGAAAUGCAUCCUAACUACAAAGCUAUUUUAAAGAGCCCUUCUAAUUCCCACAAGACAUGGUGAUACCAAGCAAGUGACGACUCCAAGAGAUAUUUCAUGAAAAGUAAGUAUUUGACAAUUAAAUUAUCAUAGGGAAUACAUCAGAAAGGGUACUAUUGUGAAACCAAUUUAAUCGGUCUCAAGAAACCCCACUGGGGUAACUGACUCAUUUCAAGAUUGGUGUGUUGUAAUUCACUGACCUCAGUACCUAAGAAGGUAUAUCCAAACUUUGCUUGUAGCUCUCCCUACCCACCUAUGACUUUCCCUGGUAUCUAAAAUCCAACCUGACAACUUUUCUGCUGUUUGGUGAAACAUGAAAACUUGGUGAUUCUGACC
rnacentral:lncRNA from 1 species